rnacentral:rRNA from 1 species
UACGUAGGGUGCGAGCGUUGUCCGGAAUUAUUGGGCGUAAAGGGCGCGUAGGUGGCCCCUCAAGCGUGCGGUGAAAGUCAGGGGCUCAACCCCUGAUCGGCCGUGCGAACUGGGGAGCUUGAGCACUGUAGAGGCAGGCGGAAUUCCGGGUGUAGCGGUGGAAUGCGUAGAGAUCCGGAAGAACACCGGUGGCGAAGGCGGCCUGCUGGGCAGUUUUGCUGACACUGAGGCGCGACAGCGUGGGGAGCAAACAGG